CCUAUUCCCACAACCCACCUCUGCCUCCUCCUUACUCAGUCCCAAACUCCUUCCCCACGCCCUGCCUCUGCCCCUCUCUCUAGUCACCUCUCCCAACCCCUCCUCUGCCCACUCCCUACCUAUUCCCAAACUCUCAAGACCCACAAAACUUCAACCUUCACCUCCUUCUUCCAUGGCCCAGUAUGCUCAAAGUAGAGCUGGGGAAACAUUGACAUUUUGGGAUGAAAAAGGACAAUUUCUUCACAAUUUAAAAAAUAUAAUUCCCAUUUUAUGACCAAUUCAAAAGGCCCCGUUUCACAAGACUCCCAAACUCUAACUCUGCCCCCACCUCAAUAUCCCUCCUGACAAAUCCAUUGCCAGUGCUCACCUCCAUAAUUCUCCCCCCAGGGCAGAUUCUUCUCCCUUCUUAGCCCUUUCUUGCUUCUCUCCCCUCAGUAAUUCAGCUCCACAAGGGAGUUCUUCUCACCUCUCAAGCUGAUUGAAGUCAUGGGCCAUCAGAAACUAAUCAGAAUGAAUGGAGAUGUUAAAUGUCAGAGAAACACUUCAUCAGGGGGUACAGGUUUGGGAGAUCUCUCUACUCCCAAAAACUGCUUGUCGAAACUACAGGUAGCUGAAGCAGGUCCUGGAGUUAUUCAUGGAGGAAGUCCCAAGAACACAAAAUUGGAGAAGGAGAGGAGUAUAACAAGAACAGACCAUUUCUCCCUCCCAAUAACUAGGAAUCCCUGAGGGACAGAAAGUAGCAAAACCCAAUCCUCCAUCCCUGUAGCAGGCAAGGAAACCCUGGAUGUAGGAGAGAAGGCAGAAAACUCCUUCUCCCUUCCAGCACAGAGAGGGAGGAACCUCCCCCCAUGAAAGCCUCAUUUAAAGACACAGCUUGUAGCUGAUUGGAGGAUGCUUGACUAAAGGUCAUCAUGGGAAAUGUAGUCCUAAACUGGAAGCUAAAGCUUGAGAUGGUGGUAUAAGGAAACAGACAUCCAUAAACCGAGAUGACAAUGUUUUAUGAAGGUCCAAUGACAUCCGGUUUUCUCACAGGAAACCUGGUCUGUGGCUGUCCAUUGUUAGUGAGAGUCACACUCAUGACCCAGAGCCAAGCUGCAAAGGGAGCAUUACCGCUGUGAACUUGACGAGGAAUUGGAGGUGUUUGCCUGACAAUAGUAAGUGUUGAAAUGUUAAACGUUAUUCUUUGUGAAUAAAAUCCUGAUGUGGCCAACAAGUCUUGAUGUGGGAGCAGUCAUUCCCUGGUGCGCUCUUGGUUACAGGAAUCCAGCUGACCUGCGGUCUGAUCCUGUAAACAUUUUUGCAUAUAUUAACUAAUCCAGUUUGCUGGAUUAGGGACUAGGUCAGGAUUUCACAGCCCAGCCCAGGACAAUGUGCUGCUCCCCUGAACAAGAGGCAAUGUGCAUCCCCAUCUGCUGGCUACUGUUUGCUGCUGGUGGCAGAAUGAUCCCAGUCCAACACCCACUGGGCUAAACCUUGUUACGAGUUGAGCUAAAACCUCAUUGAAAGUGAUGCUUGAUUGCACCCUUCACUUAAGAUUUCAGUAAGAGAGAGUGAAAGGGCCCUUCCUAAAGCAAGACAUAAGGGAGUCUGAUGAGAAACUACCAUGUGGAUGGUGUGUUCCACUGGGUAUUGUUCUGACUCUGGGUGGGUGUGUAUAUAAAAAGUCUAGUGGGGAUAGGAAAGGGAGCAGACUAGAAACAGAGACUCAAAAGCAGUAAGAAAGCAGCAGCCUGUAAGCACAGCGUGACCCUGGCAGGAGCCUAGAGGAAGAUCCUGAGUCAGGGGUUCUCGGGGAAAGAAGCUUGGGCUGAAGGCAAAGAAGCUAUCCCCUGGUUUUGGUUCCUCCUGCAUUCAGAGAAGUGAGACUUUGUACUUUCCUUUUGCAUGAAAGAAAAUACCAGACCCCAUAAUCAAUUUCUACUCCCAACUGGAACAUCCCCAAGACCUUGAAUUUUGAUUAGCCACUCAGGUCAAAAGGGUGUGUGUGUGUGUGGGGGGGCAGAUUCAAGGGCUCACUGCUCCGUAACGUGACCAUAUAAAGGGGCCAUAACAGCCUUCAGGGGAACUUCUCUAGUGCACGAACAGUAUCGGCCCAGAUAACACAUCACAGAUUAGCAGCAGGUAACUUACAUUGGGGGAAUGACCUCUGGAGCAGUCCAGAAUCCAGGAAGCAUAAAGCAGAACUCAACCCUCAACAAAAGACAGAAGCCUCUCUCCAAUACAGACCUAACCCACAGACGCAUGCAACCUGGAAUCUUAACAUUUCUCUCGUUGUAAAGGACACUAUUUCAAGCACAAUGAAAACUGAGUGGUUUUCAUUAUGGGA